rnacentral:rRNA from 1 species
GACGAACGCUGGCGGCGUGCUUAACACAUGCCGGUCGAACGGAAAGGCCCUGCUUUUGUGGGGUGCUCGAGUGGCGAACGGGUGAGUAACACGUGAGUAACCUGCCCUUGACUUUGGGAUAACAUCAGGAAACUGGGGCUAAUACCGGAUAGGAGCUCCUGCUGCAUGGUGGGGGUUGGAAAGUUUCGGCGGUUGGGGAUGGACUCGCGGCUUAUCAGCUUGUUGGUGGGGUAGUGGCUUACCAAGGCUUUGACGGGUAGCCGGCCUGAGAGGGUGACCGGCCACAUUGGGACUGAGAUACGGCCCAGACUCCUACGGGAGGCAGCAGUGGGGAAUAUUGCACAAUGGGCGGAAGCCUGAUGCAGCAACGCCGCGUGCGGGAUGACGGCCUUCGGGUUGUAAACCGCUUUCGCCUGUGACGAAGCGUGAGUGACGGUAAUGGGUAAAGAAGCACCGGCUAACUACGUG